rnacentral:lncRNA from 1 species
GAACUGGCCGCCAGGUUAGGGGAGGGGGGUGGAGUUUCUCACAUUUCAGUCGCCUUGAGGCCCCCCCAUUCUGAAUCCGGGGCUGGGGUUAGUAGCCAAGGGGACAGACAAGGCUCCACCCUCAGCCCACUUUCUCUGAGCUUUCUAGGUCUUGCUUCUCACCACUCCUGGUAGUAUUUCCACCCCAGGUUUUAACUACUAGCACUUCCAUAAAAACAGCUGAAACCACUCUUUUGGGAGAACGCGCCCGUGAGGCCUCUCACCCCAACUAAACUGGUUCCCUGCUUCGUCCACACCUCCUGGGGAUGUGAUGCACCCCCUCAUCCUUGUCAACUCAGCCCCCGCGUCUCCGAGGGGUGUUCCUGUGCUGGCUUCAAAAACCAGCUGGCCACAUGGCGGGAGGGAGAUUUUCUGGCCCCGGGAGGUCUUCUGAACCUGGGAUUUGAGGCAUGCAUGAAACGACACCCGCCACUCGAACAUCACUAGAAGACGUCUGCUCUCCGUUUUGCCAGCGAAUUCCACCACUCCAGACUGACACCGGGGAGAAGAGGCGCGAAAUGGGGAGGGGAAACGCCCUAGGCAAUUUCUCAAACUCUGCAAAUCCGCCCAGGGAGGCCCGGGUGUCUGGGUAUGGGAGAAGGGGGUCUAGGGGUCUCUGCAGAUCUGAGGGAGGGGGUAAUGACUAGUUAUUACUAGUUUAGGAAGGGAGCGGCUGCUGCACUAGCGCCCCCGCGCCGGGCCUCGGGCCCCAAAUCCCGCGAGUGGUCGCCCAGCUCGGGCCCCGCCACCCAGCGCGCGCUGCGCCGCACCCUGCCCUGGGCAAGGGGCAGCGACCGGGAACCCGGGCCUGGUCGCGGCGCCGGGAGCUCGGACACGCCCGGCGUUUUCGAUCUCGAUGCUCAAGCAGGGCCCCAUCACCGCUGCAGCGUCUUGGGACCUCCCGUCCGCAUCCCCGGGACUGGGUGUCGUUAAAGGAAACGCCUAGGAGGAGAACUAGGAGGGAGCAGUAGGUAAACGUCCGGGUUCGACCGGCUGGAUGGUGCGAGAGAGCAACAAGUCGCUUGGAAAGUGGGUAAGAGGCUCCACUGCGAGCUGCUUCCUGCCUGCGGCGGAGCGGGACGUGCGCGCAGAGAACUCAGAGACAGGAACUGAGAAGGCUAAAGAGAGACUAACUCGGUCCCUUGGGCAAGGAGAUAAAAGGAAGGUCCGGUACCCAAAAGGGACGUGCUCCAGGUGAGCGAACUGUGGCAGAGCUGAGGUUACCUAAGUAAGCGGUAGAGCUGGGAGUUCUCCAUGCCCGCCACUCUAUACAGAGUCGAGUGCUCAAUUUGCCACUG